UACGGAGGAUGCAAGCGUUAUCCGGAUUUAUUGGGUUUAAAGGGUGCGUAGGCGGAUACGUAAGUCAGCGGUGAAACUCACAGGCUCAACCUGUGCCGUGCCGUUGAAACUGUGUAUCUGGAAUGCGGAUGCUGUGGGAGGAAUGUGUAGUGUAGCGGUGAAAUGCAUAGAUAUUACACAGAACACCGAUUGCGAAGGCAUCUCACAAAGCCGUUAUUGACGCUGAGGCACGAAAGUGUGGGGAUCAAACA
rnacentral:rRNA from 1 species